rnacentral:rRNA from 1 species
UACGUAGGAUCCAAGCGUUAUCCGGAAUUACUGGGCGUAAAGAGUUGCGUAGGCGGUCUGGAAAGCAGUUAGUGAAAGCGUGUGGCUCAACCAUACACACAUUAACUGAACUCUCGGACUAGAGUAUGGGAGAGGUAGAUGGAAUUGCUAGUGUAGGAGUGAAAUCCGUAGAUAUUAGCAGGAACACCGAUGGCGUAAGCAGUCUACUGGCCCAUUACUGACGCUAAGGCACGAAAGCGUGGGGAGCAAACGGG